CACUUCUUAUGUAAUACAGGAUCACUUCUAAAUUGUGAUAAAACAGUGUACCUAUAGCGAAAUUAUUUAUCUAAUCCAAAAAAAAACAAUUGACAAUGAUUGCUCAUCAUUACUGUGCUGCACUACUGAUAUUAAAAAAAGUUCAAUUAAAGUACAAAAUAUAACAACUAAUAUUGCCUUAUCUUCAAAAAAAAGUAUCUUCCAAUGCAUGGACACUAAUAACAAGUAUAUACACAACUACAUGGGCCUCUUUUUCUCUAGCACAUAAUGGAUACCCCAGCAUUUCUUACUAUCAAGAAAUCAUUUGUAGCCAUUCCAUAUAGAGUUAUUUUAACAUCAAGUAAUAAUGACCAAAAGACAUGUCCAGGUUCAUGACAUGACGAUGGCCACCUCCUUCAAUCUCCCCAGGUCUGUCCCUUCAUUUCCUCUCCAUGACUUUGCCAAUUGCUCCUCCCAUAAUAACAAGACACAUCCGUAAUACCACUGACUCAUACAGGAUCGUUAAACCCAGUAUUCUUUUCACAUCAUGAAUAUACCUUUCCCGACUCCUUUGCAAUUACAUUUCCGGGAUGUUUCACUUCAGUUAUCAGUUUUCUGCAACAUCAAGACCACUUUCUUCAAGGGGUCUGUCCACAUUAACAAAACAGGAUCUUCAUUCUCUUUACACCUAUUCUUUUCUCACAGUUUGUAAGACUCUCCUGUUAAACACAUGAAGUAUAUGCACUUGCCACAAUAUCUACUGACUCCUUACAGAAAUGGGACUACUAUAUAGUUGGAGAACUUGGCAUCACUUAAUUGAUAGUCACAACUCAUCACUAAACUUUUUAUGGCCACACACUCAACUGCAUGCACACUUUAUACAUCUCCCUUUGUCAUCUUUCUUGACUUUUCUCUCUCUCUUGAAAACUAAUAAUUUUGCAUUUCCUUAUCAUCAUAAUUAUUAAUUAAAAUAAUGAGAGGGUGGAGCUACACACCCAUAGAUCAUCAGCACACACUAAUGGCGCUAUGUGACGGUGAUAGGCAGGUCAUUCUCAUGUGACUCAUACCACUUUCUUUAUGUUCUUAGGCAAAUUUUUGUGCAUCAACUCACUAAGGACUAUUUGCUGCGCAGUUAUUUAACAUCAAGUCUAUUUUCUGCGGGGAGGGGUACUUCUAAAGUCAUUUCAGUUGGCAGGCCACCUUCAUUACACUCCUCAUAUUUUCUUUUCAAUGCCUUUGCUUUAGCGAUACGUUGUUCCCGUGAGAGGACUGUAGUUGAAGGCGGAGUAGGACCUGGUGUCAUCUGAUUGUUUGUAGUGGUCAGGUGAAUGUCUGCCCGAGCUGUCUCUUCCUCAAGUGGACAUUUGGUGAAAAAUUCCAACUCCUCCUCCGUGAUUAUUCCUAACCCAUCAUAAUAUGACAUUAUGCAUUUCACCUUUGGCCAC